UACGUAGGUGGCGAGCGUUAUCCGGAUUUACUGGGCGUAAAGAGCGCGCAGGCGGUCGUGCAAGUCGCGUGUGAAAGCCCCCGGCUCAACUGGGGAGGGUCACGCGAUACUGUUCGACUCGAAGGCAGGAGAGGGAAGUGGAAUUCCCGGUGUAGUGGUGAAAUGCGUAGAUAUCGGGAGGAACACCAGUGGCGAAGGCGACUUCCUGGCCUGUUCUUGACGCUGAGGCGCGAAAGCUAGGGUAGCAAACGGG
rnacentral:rRNA from 1 species